GAUGAACGCUAGCGAUAGGCUUAACACAUGCAAGUCGAGGGGCAGCGAGGGUAGCAAUACCUGUCGGCGACCGGCGCACGGGUGAGUAACGCGUAUGUAACCUGCCCGCAACAGGGGGAUAACCCGGCGAAAGUCGGACUAAUACCGCAUAAAACAGGGGUCCCGCAUGGGAAUAUUUGUUAAAGAUUUAUCGGUUGCGGAUGGGCAUGCGUACCAUUAGGUAGUUGGUGAGGUAACGGCUCACCAAGCCUUCGAUGGUUAGGGGUUCUGAGAGGAAGGUCCCCCACACUGGUACUGAGACACGGACCAGACUCCUACGGGAGGCAGCAGUGAGGAAUAUUGGUCAAUGGGCGAGAGCCUGAACCAGCCAAGUCGCGUGAAGGAUGACUGCCCUAUGGGUUGUAAACUUCUUUUACAAGGGAAUAAAAUGAGAUACGUGUAUUUUAUUGCAUGUACCUUGGGAAUAAGCAUCGGCUAGCUCCGUG
rnacentral:rRNA from 1 species